rnacentral:rRNA from 1 species
UACGGAGGGGGCAAGCGUUGUUCGGAAUUACUGGGCGUAAAGGGUUCGUAGGUGGCCAACUAAGUCAGACGUGAAAUCCCUCAGCUUAACUGGGGAACUGCGUCUGAUACUGGUUGGCUUGAGUGCAGGAGAGGAACGCGGAAUUCCAGGUGUAGCGGUGAAAUGCGUAGAUAUCUGGAGGAACACCGGUGGCGAGGGCGGCGUUCUGGACUGCAACUGACACUGAGGAACGAAAGCCAGGGGAGCAAACGGG